CUCCAUCUUGGUUCCUCAUUGAAAAUUGAGAGAGGUGAUUCACUUCAAGUUUUAGCGUAGAUUGAUUUCUUUAUUUAUCCUUCUAAUAAGCAUAUCAAUUCUUGAAAACUUUAGACUGUCUGAUAUUUAUAUAGAUGGUAUAAUGCAUGUAUGCGUAUAUUUAGUUUUGCAUUGACUAUGUAUUAAAUAGAUUUUGGAUACUUAUUUAUAAUACUAGUCUCUUGCUAGUUUAUGCAGUCGGGC
rnacentral:lncRNA from 1 species